rnacentral:rRNA from 1 species
GACGUAGGGUGCAAGCGUUGUUCGGAUUGACUGGGCGUAAAGGGCGUGUAGGCGGUCGGCCAAGUCUGAUGUGAAAGCCCGAGGCUCAGCCUCGGAAGUGCGCCGGAAACUAGUCGGCUGGAGCGCGAUAGAGGAGGGUGGAAUUCCUGGUGUAGCGGUGAAAUGCGUAGAUAUCAGGAGGAACACCGGCGGCGAAGGCGGCCCUCUGGAUCGUUGCUGACGCUGAGACGCGAAAGCGUGGGGAGCAAACAGG